AUGACAACUUCUAGGAAAGGGGACACAUCCCUUGUCAUGCUCAUGUCAUUAGAGAUUUGGACUGAGAUAAAUGCAAAGGUUUUUAGGGAGGUCGCAUCCACACCAAAUGUGAUAUUUGAUAAGAUUAGAUUAGAGGCCAAUCUUUGGGGGCUUGUGGGUGCCAAGCCCUUGAGGUCAUUGAUGCCGCUAGAGUAG
rnacentral:rRNA from 1 species